rnacentral:rRNA from 1 species
CCUACGGGGGGCUGCAGUGGGGAAUUUUGGACAAUGGGCGAGAGCCUGAUCCAGCGACGCCGCGUGGAGGACGAAGGUCUUCGGAUUGUAAACUCCUUUUGCAGGGGACGAAAAAAAUGACGGUACUCUGCGAAUAAGCCACGGCUAACUACGUGCCAGCAGCCGCGGUAAUACGUAGGUGGCGAGCGUUACUCGGAAUCACUAGGCGUAAAGCGCGUGUAGGCGGUAUUUUAUGUCUGUUGUGAAAUCUUAUGGCUCAACCAUAAAAUGUCGACAGAUACGGAAGUACAAGAGUGAGGCAGGGGAAACUGAAAUUCCAGGUGUAGCGGUGAAAUGCGUAGAUAUCUGGAAGAACGCCAAGGGCGAAGGCAGGUUCCUGGGCCUUUACUGACGCUGAGCCGCGAAAGCUAGGGGAGCAAACAGGAUUAGAUCCCCUGGUAGU